UAUUAAAAUAUUGCAACGUCUGACAUGUCAUAAUAGAGAUGGUCUUAUUCUAUAACCGUAUUAUAAUUUUAUUAAGAUUGAUAAGUAUCUAUCAUAAUUCACAGUAUUGUCCUAGUCAUGGGAUAUUUCAGUAUCCGUACGGGUUGUCUUUCCUAACACCGGGUUUUCCACGUUCUGUUAGAUCUUUUAAAAUUGUCUUCGUCUGAACUAAUGGUGUACAGCGAUAAUUUGCCGUGUGUUUUCCUUCUCGGUAUACUUUUAUACACGGAAACAUUUACCUUUAUUUUCUGAGUAUUUUGUGUUUGCACGGCAGAUUGUGACAUGUUUGAUUGUAACUUUAUAGUUAUUUAUUAACUCAUCUUGACAUUAGACAUCUCGUCAAUAUCAAUAUCUAAUGGUUGUUUAUCGUAAAGAAGAUAUACGUCAUACCCCAGGCGCAUAGUCACUGUUUAAUAAGAUCAGAUUGAUUAGCUGCAGGACAGAAGCCCCCUGGGAAAAAUUGGGACUUGGGAUUUUGAUCAUUCCAUGCAGUUGGACCUCAUUUACCACGUAUUGUUGGUUUGAGUAAAUAACGAAAAUUGGAAUAGGGCCUUGUGUAAAAUUAACUCGACUUGUUCACAAAAGCAAUCUGCAUUUGGAAGACACUCAUGUCUUUUUGAUUCUAAAAUAGCUGAAUUUUUUAAAAAUAAUAUUUGAAAAACAAAUUAGAUGGGCUCAAGUAAUGUCUCACGAAGAGUUCGGGUUGUGUCUGAUGAAGAGUUUGUGACCUAGAACGACACACUCGUGGGACAUCAUUCAUCCAUGUGUUUUCAAAAACACGCACACAGUUGAUGUAGAACGCAAACUUUAUUUGUCUUGGCCUUACAAUCCGUCUUAAUGCCAGCUUUCUCAUUAUUUCACAAAGAAUGUAAUUACCUGAUGGGUUUUCCUCGUAGGUGUAGGAUUAAAUUUCCGAUUUUAAUAUUCAUCAAGGCUUUUUGUUUUGUAAGACUUUGUCAAAAGGUAUUGUCUCGAGUUUGAACGGUUUGUCAAAAAAUUGAAAAGGUUCGUGUUGUGUAAAUCGAGGGAUCUGAUUACUUUUCAUUCCUAAUACAGCAACACAAAGACAACUAAGUGUUCGUAUCAUUAUAGUUUGUUAAUUCAAUCAUAGCUUAUAUUUCUAUUUUGUUAAUUCAAUCAUAGCUUAUAUUUCUAUUUUGUUAAUUCAAUCAUAACUUAUAUUUUUAUUUUGUUAAUUCAAUCAUAACUUAUAUUUUGUUUUGUUAAUUCAAUCAUAACUUAUAUUUUUAGUUUGUUUAGUCAAUUAUUAAUUCAAAAUGUUGACGAAAGUAGUAUAAUUUCAAGAUAAUAUCACACUGAAAGUUACGUCAUUAAAUCAUGUAUUUACACUCCAUCUGAUUAAAAUCAGAUCCUUUGAUCUGCUCACGUAGAUCCUUGUGUUGCGAUAUAUGUGACCGGAUCAAAGGAUCUGAUUUUAAUCGGAUUGAUUUAAACUCAACUAUAGUAUUGGGCAUAAUCUUUACGCAAGACACCAUUCUUGCAAGUGUGAUAUGAAUGGGAUGAAUAACGUAGUUUAAAUAUUCGACAAAGAAUUUUCGGGAUUCUCCUCACUUUGACCUUCACCUGACUUUGACCUUCACCUCUCACCUGUGACGUAAAAGAUAGAUAGGAAUCAAGAACUUUAUUCAAGGCCUCAUUGUUGCAAGUUUGAUAAAACUCGGGAGAUAGAUGUAGAUGAAUGAACGAAGGAACAAUUGACCGACUCAUAAUGCAAGUCAUGUUCUAUAUACCUGUUAAUCCAUUGUAUGAUCAAUCCUGGCCUACCCAUAUUGACAAGCCCGUGGGGAUCCGGGUUAGAAUAGGUCAUCAGUACUUCUUGCUUGUCGCAACUAAAUGGGGCGAUCCUUCGGACGAGACCGCAUACCUAAGGUCCCGUGUAACAGCAGGUGUGGUGCGAGAAAGAUCCCUCCCUGCUCAAAGGCCGUAAGCGCCGAGCACAGGCCAAACUUUUGCAGCCCUUUACCGGCAAUUUUGACGUCUCCAUAUGAGUGAAAUAUUCUUGAGUGGGACGUUAAACAAUGUACAACCACUCCAUAUUGACGAUCGAGGAUGUCAGCCUGCUCUUUUCCCAACAUUAACCUGGUAUUUCCAGCUUAAAAUGGCAAACAGUGCUUUUCUACCUUGCUUCGCUGCAUGUUUUUGCAUAUUUAAAGGGAAAGGCAACCCAAAAGAUUUUUACAUGAUAAAUGAUAGGAUUAAUCAUAUGAUAAAGAUUUGUCAUACAAUUCUGUUGAUAUAUGGCCUAGAUAUGCCUCAGUACUAAUUUGAAAAUGUCAAAA